rnacentral:rRNA from 1 species
GGUUAAGCGACUAAGCGUACACGGUGGAUGCCCUGGCAGUCAGAGGCGAUGAAGGACGUGCUAAUCUGCGAUAAGCGUCGGUAAGGUGAUAUGAACCGUUAUAACCGGCGAUUUCCGAAUGGGGAAACCCAGUGUGAUUCGUCACACUAUCAUUAACUGAAUCCAUAGGUUAAUGAGGCGAACCGGGGGAACUGAAACAUCUAAGUACCCCGAGGAAAAGAAAUCAACCGAGAUUCCCCCAGUAGCGGCGAGCGAACGGGGAGCAGCCCAGAGCCUGAAUCAGUGUGUGUGUUAGUGGAAGCGUCUGGAAAGGCGCGCGAUACAGGGUGACAGCCCCGUACACAAAAAUGCACAUGCUGUGAGCUCGAUGAGUAGGGCGGGACACGUGGUAUCCUGUCUGAAUAUGGGGGGACCAUCCUCCAAGGCUAAAUACUCCUGACUGACCGAUAGUGAACCAGUACCGUGAGGGAAAGGCGAAAAGAACCCCGGCGAGGGGAGUGAAAAAGAACCUGAAACCGUGUACGUACAAGCAGUGGGAGCACGCUUAGGCGUGUGACUGCGUACCUUUUGUAUAAUGGGUCAGCGACUUAUAUUCUGUAGCAAGGUUAACCGAAUAGGGGAGCCGAAGGGAAACCGAGUCUUAACUGGGCGUUAAGUUGCAGGGUAUAGACCCGAAACCCGGUGAUCUAGCCAUGGGCAGGUUGAAGGUUGGGUAACACUAACUGGAGGACCGAACCGACUAAUGUUGAAAAAUUAGCGGAUGACUUGUGGCUGGGGGUGAAAGGCCAAUCAAACCGGGAGAUAGCUGGUUCUCCCCGAAAGCUAUUUAGGUAGCGCCUCGUGAAUUCAUCUCCGGGGGUAGAGCACUGUUUCGGCAAGGGGGUCAUCCCGACUUACCAACCCGAUGCAAACUACGAAUACCGGAGAAUGUUAUCACGGGAGACACACGGCGGGUGCUAACGUCCGUCGUGAAGAGGGAAACAACCCAGACCGCCAGCUAAGGUCCCAAAGUCAUGGUUAAGUGGGAAACGAUGUGGGAAGGCCCAGACAGCCAGGAUGUUGGCUUAGAAGCAGCCAUCAUUUAAAGAAAGCGUAAUAGCUCACUGGUCGAGUCGGCCUGCGCGGAAGAUGUAACGGGGCUAAACCAUGCACCGAAGCUGCGGCAGCGACGCUUAUGCGUUGUUGGGUAGGGGAGCGUUCUGUAAGCCUGUGAAGGUGUACUGUGAGGUAUGCUGGAGGUAUCAGAAGUGCGAAUGCUGACAUAAGUAACGAUAAAGCGGGUGAAAAGCCCGCUCGCCGGAAGACCAAGGGUUCCUGUCCAACGUUAAUCGGGGCAGGGUGAGUCGACCCCUAAGGCGAGGCCGAAAGGCGUAGUCGAUGGGAAACAGGUUAAUAUUCCUGUACUUGGUGUUACUGCGAAGGGGGGACGGAGAAGGCUAUGUUGGCCGGGCGACGGUUGUCCCGGUUUAAGCGUGUAGGCUGGUUUUCCAGGCAAAUCCGGAAAAUCAAGGCUGAGGCGUGAUGACGAGGCACUACGGUGCUGAAGCAACAAAUGCCCUGCUUCCAGGAAAAGCCUCUAAGCAUCAGGUAACAUCAAAUCGUACCCCAAACCGACACAGGUGGUCAGGUAGAGAAUACCAAGGCGCUUGAGAGAACUCGGGUGAAGGAACUAGGCAAAAUGGUGCCGUAACUUCGGGAGAAGGCACGCUGAUAUGUAGGUGAAGUCCCUCGCGGAUGGAGCUGAAAUCAGUCGAAGAUACCAGCUGGCUGCAACUGUUUAUUAAAAACACAGCACUGUGCAAACACGAAAGUGGACGUAUACGGUGUGACGCCUGCCCGGUGCCGGAAGGUUAAUUGAUGGGGUUAGCGCAAGCGAAGCUCUUGAUCGAAGCCCCGGUAAACGGCGGCCGUAACUAUAACGGUCCUAAGGUAGCGAAAUUCCUUGUCGGGUAAGUUCCGACCUGCACGAAUGGCGUAAUGAUGGCCAGGCUGUCUCCACCCGAGACUCAGUGAAAUUGAACUCGCUGUGAAGAUGCAGUGUACCCGCGGCAAGACGGAAAGACCCCGUGAACCUUUACUAUAGCUUGACACUGAACAUUGAGCCUUGAUGUGUAGGAUAGGUGGGAGGCUUUGAAGUGUGGACGCCAGUCUGCAUGGAGCCGACCUUGAAAUACCACCCUUUAAUGUUUGAUGUUCUAACGUUGACCCGUAAUCCGGGUUGCGGACAGUGUCUGGUGGGUAGUUUGACUGGGGCGGUCUCCUCCUAAAGAGUAACGGAGGAGCACGAAGGUUGGCUAAUCCUGGUCGGACAUCAGGAGGUUAGUGCAAUGGCAUAAGCCAGCUUGACUGCGAGCGUGACGGCGCGAGCAGGUGCGAAAGCAGGUCAUAGUGAUCCGGUGGUUCUGAAUGGAAGGGCCAUCGCUCAACGGAUAAAAGGUACUCCGGGGAUAACAGGCUGAUACCGCCCAAGAGUUCAUAUCGACGGCGGUGUUUGGCACCUCGAUGUCGGCUCAUCACAUCCUGGGGCUGAAGUAGGUCCCAAGGGUAUGGCUGUUCGCCAUUUAAAGUGGUACGCGAGCUGGGUUUAGAACGUCGUGAGACAGUUCGGUCCCUAUCUGCCGUGGGCGCUGGAGAAUUGAGGGGGGCUGCUCCUAGUACGAGAGGACCGGAGUGGACGCAUCACUGGUGUUCGGGUUGUCAUGCCAAUGGCACUGCCCGGUAGCUAAAUGCGGAAGAGAUAAGUGCUGAAAGCAUCUAAGCACGAAACUUGCCCCGAGAUGAGUUCUCCCUGACUCCUUGAGAGUCCUGAAGGAACGUUGAAGACGACGACGUUGAUAGGCCGGGUGUGUAAGCGCAGCGAUGCGUUGAGCUAACCGGUACUAAUGAACCGUGAGGCUUAACCUU